UACCUGAUCAAUUUUUCGAGCUAUAUCAUUUGAGGUACCUUGCUUUCUGCUACGUGGGUCAUAUUCCUAGAGCAAUAUCAAACCUUCAGUGUCUUCAAACCUUAAUCGUGAAAAAUACUUUUGAUUUGCCGCGUGAAAUUUGGAAUAUGCCGCAGUUAAGACAUCUCAUUACUCUUGGUUAUUGGUGUGAGUUAGAUGAGCUCAAUGUUGCCACUUUAGCUCUAGAAAAUCUGCAAACACUUGGGACACUGCGCAAUCUCAAAUGUUCUUUAAGUAUCGUCAACAUGAUACCCAAUCUUAAGAAACUGUCCCUCAUUUGUUCUUGGGAUUUCGAAGCCUUACUUUUACACGAUCUGAUGCAUCUGCGUCGACUUGAAAACUUGAACUUGGUACUUGAAAGUUCGUAUGAAUAUACUGGUGUCCCUAAUCUUGUUCUUCCUAGCUCGCUGAAGAAGUUAGCCUUGAUCGGUUGGGGUCGCAACGGCCAUCACCUCAAGAUUGUCUGCCCGUUGCCGAAUCUUGAAGUGCUCAAACUGAGAAAAUUCGAUUUUAAGGAGCAAGAGUGGACAGUUAGUGAUCAUGAUUUCCCAAAGCUGCGAUUUCUACUCAUUGAUGAUUCAAAUCUCAGGCAAUGGAACACUGACGGCAGCCACUUUCCGUUGCUCGAGCACCUACUGAUUCAUUAUUGCCGACGUCUGAGUGAAAUUCCAGAUAGUAUGGGAGAAAUUCCGACACUGAAGUUGGUUGAGGUCAAGAGAUGUGAGAAAUCCCUAGCGGACUCUGUCAAAGUAAUACAAGAAGAGCAACAAAAUUAUGGAGAUGAUUCUUUUGAAGUUCGUUGUAUUAACUGUUAGCCUAUCAGAAAUCUGCUUUCCCUCGAUUUUUGAGAGAAUGCCCACGAGUUCAACGACAUAGUCGAGGGCUUCGGGUGGGAGGACGUACGGAACGUGGGGCCCGCCCCGCGCACGCAUGUCUACAAGAGGGUCUGGACGGCCAACGAAGGUCCCCUGUCGGAGUUCAUAUAUAUACUACCACCAUGAGAUGGUCUUGAUAAAAGAAUUCCUAAAGAAGGUAAUUCUCUUAUGUGAAGUACCUCCACCGGAAGGAGGAGAAACUCCGAUCGCGCCUAGCUUCCGUGUAACGGAGAGGAUGUUGGAAGAGUACCCGGAGAUGGUGGUGGAGAUGGAGAGGAAAGGACUGAGAUACACGUUCACGGCCCUAAGCAAAAACGAUACUUCUUCCAUGAGAGGUCGAGGUUGGGAAGAUGCAUUUGGGACUUCAGAUUGCGUAGAAGCAGAGAAGAGGUAAGCAAUUUCGAAUUCUUUCUAGACAUAUUGUGGAGAGGGAGCGUUUACUUUGCAUGAUUGAUCAGAUGCAAAAAGCCGUCGUC